CUGGGUCCAUCUGACCGGAGCAAAGGGCAGGAUCGGAGGCUGUCAUCUCCACAGGGAUGACGGCUGCCUCUCGUUUGACCUAUCUUCCUCUUUUAACAGCCAAGAGUAACCUGAACUGCAUUCCGUCUUGCAGAUUCUUUCUGUCAGCUACUUCAAAUGAAAAGCAAAUGAGGAAGAAAGAAAUCUUAAUGAACAGUCGAAAUAUUCUAUUUAUGGAUAUGACGUUCAUGUGCUAUGCACUAAAUACCAAGCUCAUUGGCUUCCAUGGUGAUGCUUCUUCCAGGAGACCUGCUUCACAGGAAGAGGGAGAGGAGGCUUUUGCAAAAGGUCCUUAGCAUGCGACCACAAUGACUGCACCUCAGCCCACAGAGAAUCCAGCACGGCCUGUUCAGCAAGACAUCCCUCUCCCUUUCUAAGAAGUGGCACUGAAAACCACUGUUGUGCGGACAGAGUUCUUAGCAUUUAAUUUGGUUAUUUCAGUGGAGCCAACUUUACCACCUCAGUUCUCCAACUGAUGUCUGAACAGGCACCUCUGCAGCAUUUCCUAAAUUUGAGCCCCAGCGAUGGACUCUGCAAGCUGUAUCUGACGUCUACGCAUUGAUUUCCACAGCAGUGAACCCCUCUGCAGGAUAUCUGUAAUUCUGAGCACAUAGACAAGGGUAUGGGACUUCAGACUCUCCAGAUGCCCAGCCAGAGAAGGAACUUGCCAAAUCACACUCGGCAUUUCCCAGUCCACCAUGGAGCUGGUGACAGUUCUUGGAGGUUGGGUAGGGCCAGCAAGUACAGAGGAAAGCAGCCCUCCUUCUCUCAUCUCCCAUGCAAUUGACAGAGGAUCUGGACUCAUUCAAGAACCAGCAGUUUCCAGUUCAUUGAUAUUAAAUUUGUCUUAGUGCAGAUGUGUAGGCUCAAUGGCACUGUUUAUCUAAUCACUAGUUGUUUUCCAUUUAAUUGCAUAGAAAUGUGAAGUGGUAGCCAUAGUCAAAAGUUUUCUUGAAGUACAACAAAGCAGCAAGCAACCAACACAUGCCAGUAAAAUCAUACCUAAUACACCCAAGCUGACAAGCAGGGAGAUUUACAUACUCUAUUUGGCAAAUAAAACUGAUAUUUCAUUUGG